GCAAAAGCAGGAUCGCCGACGGGUGCAGAAGGCUGACGGCGUCCCCCGUGGAAGGAACGGAACGCGGAAAAAAAAAAGCAAAAAAAAGCAAAAGUCAGGACACGAGGUGGAAGAAAGUUGAUCGCGGGAUCCAACCAAACCAGAGUUCCUGUUUCCUCGGCCAGCCCACUCCUGAUGCCAUAUGCAGCACCCAAGCAUGAGCAACGCUGGGACUUCCUUCAGCGACGUCUGGACAGGCAGUGGGGAGGGGUUUGCCAAAAGUCAGGAAGCACCAGGGGGUGGAUGGGAAAGGAAUCCCUGAACUGGUGCUGGGAAUGUGACGUCUGGAGGCUGACAGCUCUGCAGGAAAAGCAAGUGACAUCCAAGAAGCGAAAGCAAGCCGAUCACGACGCAGGAUCGCAUUGUGGCUCCCUUGGUCGUGAUGGGCUCCAGGAGGAGGGGACCCCGUCUCCCCCAUUGUGAAGCAUGCAAAUUUUCACUGUGCUGCGCAAGGUGCCGUGAGAGCAGUGGCAGGCCAUGGAGUCAGCAACAGCAAAUAUACCAUGACGAAGGCAGAAUGCUGUGGGCCUCUGGUGGCUCAACAGACUAAGCAGUCUGUUAUUAACACAGGUGCUUGAAAUUACUGCAGGUUCA